UGAGUAACGCGUGGGAACGUGCCCUUUGGUACGGAAUAGCCCUGGGAAACUGGGAGUAAUACCGUAUGUGCCCUUCGGGGGAAAGAUUUAUCGCAAAGGAUCGGCCCGCGUUGGAUUAGGUAGUUGGUGGGGUAAUGGCCUACCAAGCCGACGAUCCAUAGCNGGUUUGAGAGGAUGAUCAGCCACACUGGGACUGAGACACGGUCCAGACUCCUACGGGAGGCAGCAGUGGGGAAUUUUGGACAAUGGACGCAAGUCUGAUCCAGCCAUUCCGCGUGCAGGAUGAAGGCCCUCGGGUUGUAAACUGCUUUUGUACGGAACGAAAAGGGUUUCCAUUAAUACUGGGAGCUCAUGACGGUACCGUAAGAAUAAGCACCGGCUAACUACGUG
rnacentral:rRNA from 1 species